rnacentral:hammerhead_ribozyme from 1 species
AUCGAGCCAACGAGUCCCAAAUAGGACGAAACGUGCGUCCUGGAU